AGAACGAACGCUGGCGGCAUGCCUAAUACAUGCAAGUCGAACGAACACUUCGGUGUUAGUGGCGCACGGGUGCGUAACGCGUGGGAAUCUGCCCUUGGGUUCGGAAUAACAGUUGGAAACGACUGCUAAUACCGGAUGAUAUCGAAAGAUCAAAGAUUUAUCGCCCAGGAUGAGCCCGCGUAGGAUUAGCUAGUUGGUGA
rnacentral:rRNA from 1 species